rnacentral:rRNA from 2 species
CUCAGGACGAACGCUGGCGGCGUGCCUAAUACAUGCAAGUCGAGCGAAUCGAUGGGAGCUUGCUCCCUGAGAUUAGCGGCGGACGGGUGAGUAACACGUGGGCAACCUGCCUAUAAGACUGGGAUAACUUCGGGAAACCGGAGCUAAUACCGGAUACGUUCUUUUCUCGCAUGAGAGAAGAUGGAAAGACGGUUUACGCUGUCACUUAUAGAUGGGCCCGCGGCGCAUUAGCUAGUUGGUGAGGUAAUGGCUCACCAAGGCGACGAUGCGUAGCCGACCUGAGAGGGUGAUCGGCCACACUGGGACUGAGACACGGCCCAGACUCCUACGGGAGGCAGCAGUAGGGAAUCUUCCGCAAUGGACGAAAGUCUGACGGAGCAACGCCGCGUGAACGAAGAAGGCCUUCGGGUCGUAAAGUUCUGUUGUUAGGGAAGAACAAGUACCAGAGUAACUGCUGGUACCUUGACGGUACCUAACCAGAAAGCCACGGCUAACUACGUGCC